AUCGCUUCUCGGCCUCUUGGCUAAGAUCAAGUGUAGUGCUCCCCUGUUCUGUUUAGGGGUUUUUUUUUUUUGUUUUUUGUUUUGUUUUUUGGUGUUAGGUUUUUCCCUGGGUUUCUAUCUCCCUCUCUUUGUAACUAAUAGCACCUGUCAUUUAAAACAUACAAAGAAGCAAAAAAAAAAAAAAAAC